AUUGAACGCUGGCGGCAGGCCUAACACAUGCAAGUCGAGCGAGCGGCGGACGGGUGAGUAAUGUAUGGGGACUGCCCGAUAGAGGGGGAUAACUACUGGAAACGGUAGCUAAUACCGCAUACUAUCGGAUAACCCAUAUGGGAUUAGCUCGUGGGUGAGGUAAAGGCUCACCUAGGCGACGAUCCCUAGCUGGUCUGAGAGGAUGAUCAGCCAAACUGGGACUGAGAAACGGACCAGACUCCUACGGAGGCAGCAGUGGGGAAUAUUGCAAAAGGGGCGCAAGCCCGAGGCAGCCAAGCCGCGGUGAUGAAGAAGGCCCUAGGGUUGUAAAGUACUUUCAGGGGGGAGGCGUUACCCGCAGAAGAAGCACCGGCUAACUCCGUGCCAGCAGCCGCGGUAAUUC
rnacentral:rRNA from 1 species